UUUAAAACUGAAAGUUGAUCUGUGGAGCUA
rnacentral:piRNA from 1 species